UCUUGUAUUGAAACUCAAAAAAAAAAUUGAUAGUGAAAAACAAUUAAUUGAAACUGUAAAUUUUUUGUUUUCGCUUACAUUUUUUUUUUCAGUUUCAAUCCAUUUUUCAGUUUCAAUCUGCUGGCACUGUUUUGGCGUCCGGGGGCGCGCUGGGGGGACGGGGAUUCCGACCUGCAUGUAUUUGCAUACAUUAUAGAGCCGACUAGUGCUGACCAAGCUGCCAUCUUUCUCUCUUCCCGUCUUUCAAUGGCUGCUUCAAUUUCAGCUUGACCCUCUAAACCGCAGGUUAGCACCUCGUACUGCAGUGCACCAAAAGCAGCCUCAUGAGCGCUGGGAAGGACAAGCCCAGAGCCCAGUGACAGUGCAGGAGAUGACAAGCUGUCCUGUGCCAGAUGUUCUGUUGACCCACUGUGAGAGGCAUCAUUUCAGAAACACCAGGAAGACCGAAACUCAUCGCAGGGAUCAAGCAGGGCUCGUGAUCUUCAUCAGCAGCUCCCUCACAAGAGGGAUAAACCCAGCAUUUUAUGAACAUUGUGAUGAAGACCUUUGCUUUGUGUAAUGUAAAGGUCUGGACUUUUACAGAAUAUAAUAUCUUUAAGUCCUGUUGAAAGUUAAAUAUAUGUUGUGCUCUCUGGUUACUCUGGUAUGAAUGACUCUGAAUUACUUUAUGAUAAAUAACACACUAUUGACAAAAAACAGUGAAAGAAUUCCAGGUCACAAGUUUUUAGUUCAAAAUACAAGUAACAACCUUUGACUUUAAUCAGGUUUUAUUUAAUUGUGUCAGAGAAAACAUCUUGUGCUCUUCAUGUAGCUGAGUACAGUUUUCUGAAACACCAAACUGAAGUACUAUUAAUGC